GUAGCUUCGCCAGCACAUAUACUGGAAUUGGAACAAUAAAGAGAUUAGCGUGGCCCCAUUGCAAGGAUGACACUCAAAUCUGAAAUGCUCCAUAUUUUU
rnacentral:snRNA from 1 species